rnacentral:rRNA from 1 species
CCCUUAGAUGUUCUGGGCAGCACGCGCGCUACAAUGGUCUUCGCAAACGGAUGCAUUCUCGAAGGAGAAUGCCAAUCUUGGAAUCUAUGCCUUGGUCGGGACAGUUGCUUGCAAUUUUUCGACUCGAACCAGGAAUUCCUUGUAAUCGUGAUUCAUCACAUCACGAUGAAGACGUCCCUGCCCUUUGUACACACCGCCCGUCGCUCCUACCGAUCGAAGAGUUAGGUGAAUUGUUUUGAUCGAUAAGAUUUGACUAUGGUCAACUCUCGUUGUGAAAUUCUGUGAAUCUGACUGUUUAGAGGAAGGAAAAGUCGUAACA